rnacentral:rRNA from 1 species
CGCGAAUGGCUCAUUACAACAGCCACCGUUUAUUAGAAUAUCGUUAUCCUACUUGGAUAACUGUGGCAAUUCUAGAGCUAAUACAUGCAAAAAAGCUCCGACCGUAAGGAACGAGCGCAUUUAUUAGAAUAAAAACCAAUCGGGUUUCGGCCCGUAAUUUGGUGAAUCUGAAUAACUUUGCCAAUCGCACAGUCCUAGUACUGGCGAUGUAUCUUUCAAGUGUCUGCCUUAUCAACUUUCGAUGGUAGGUUAUACGCCUACCAUGGUAGUAACGGGUAACGGAGAAUAAGGGUUCGACUCCGGAGAGGGAGCCUGAGAAACGGCUACCACAUCCAAGGAAGGCAGCAGGCGCGCAAAUUACCCACUUCCAGAACGGAGAGGUAGUGACGAAAAAUAACGAGACAGUCCUCUUCGAGGUCUGUCAUCGGAAUGGGUACAAUUUAAAUCCUUUAACGAGGAUCUAUUGGAGGGCAAGUCUGGUGCCAGCAGCCGCGGUAAUUCCAGCU